rfam:Gossypium hirsutum cultivar TM-1 chromosome 8, whole genome shotgun sequence
AACUCAUGGUGAGGGCACUUCUAUAUCAUAUAUUUGAAAUUCUCCCACACCUCGUAUAGUGUUUCACUUUCAAACUGCUUAAAAUUGGCGAUAUUGCGUUUAAGUU